rnacentral:rRNA from 1 species
UACGUAGGGGGUAAGCGUUGUCCGGAAUCAUUGGGCGUAAAGAGCGUGUAGGCGGCUCGGUAAGUCCGCUCUGAAAGCCCGGGGCUCAACCCCGGGAGGCGGGCGGAUACUGUCGGGCUAGAGUCCGGAAGAGGCGAGUGGAAUUCCUGGUGUAGCGGUGAAAUGCGCAGAUAUCAGGAGGAACACCAAUGGCGAAGGCAGCUCGCUGGGACGGUACUGACGCUGAGACGCGAAAGCGUGGGGAGCGAACAGG